GAAAAACGUGUGUUGGAAGAAAGUGAAUAAAAACUGCAUGUGGGCUGUGACGGCAAAACCAUUUAUCAAAUCCCAUCUUCUCAAACACACCCUUCCACUUCUUCUCAUGGCAAACCAAACAUCACUCUCCUUCUCUUCCGGCUUACCCGUUCACGCGCCUCUGAAGCGCGUGGGCACUCACAAUGGAAGUUUUCACUGCGACGAGGCCCUUGGCUGCUUCAUGAUUCGCCUCACUCACAGAUUUAACAACGCCGAAAUCGUUCGCACCCGAGACCCUCAGGUUUUGGAGGGUCUUGAUGCUGUUCUUGAUGUUGGGGGAGUCUAUGACCCUGCCCGAGAUCGGUAUGAUCAUCAUCAGAAGGGUUUUGAAGAAGUUUUUGGGCAUGGUUUCUCCACUAAAUUGAGCAGUGCUGGUCUUGUUUAUAAGCAUUUUGGAAAGGAG
rnacentral:sRNA from 1 species